GACGAACCCUGGCGGCGUGCUUAACACAUGCAAGUCGAACGGAAAGGCCCUGCUUUUGUGGGGUGCUCGAGUGGCGAACGGGUGAGUAACACGUGAGUAACCUGCCCUUGACUUUGGGAUAACUUCAGGAAACUGGGGCUAAUACCGGAUAGGAGCUCCUGCUGCAUGGUGGGGGUUGGAAAGUUUCGGCGGUUGGGGAUGGACUCGCGGCUUAUCAGCUUGUUGGUGGGGUAGUGGCUUACCAAGGCUUUGACGGGUAGCCGGCCUGAGAGGGUGACCGGCCACAUUGGGACUGAGAUACGGCCCAGACUCCUACGGGAGGCUGCAGUGGGGAAUAUUGCACAAUGGGCGGAAGCCUGAUGCAGCAACGCCGCGUGCGGGAUGACGGCCUUCGGGUUGUAAACCGCUUUCGCCUGUGACGAAGCGUGAGUGACGGUAAUGGGUAAAGAAGCACCGGCUAACUACGUG
rnacentral:rRNA from 1 species